rnacentral:rRNA from 1 species
UACGUAGGAGGCGAGCGUUAUCCGGAUUUACUGGGCGUAAAGGGCUCGUAGGCGGCUCGCCAAGUCAGUUGUGAAAGCUCCCGGCUCAACCGGGAGAGGUCAAGUGAUACUGGCGGGCUUGAGGGCAGCAGAGGGAGAUGGAAUUCCCGGUGUAGUGGUGAAAUGCGUAGAUAUCGGGAGGAACACCAGUGGCGAAGGCGGUCUCCUGGGCUGUGCCUGACGCUGAGGAGCGAGAGCGUGGGGAGCAAACAGGAUUAGAUACCCCCGUA